CACGUAGGGCGCGAGCGUUGUCCGGAAUUAUUGGGCGUAAAGAGCUCGUAGGCGGCCUGUUGCGUCCGCUGUGAAAGCCCGGGGCUUAACCCCGGGUCUGCAGUGGAUACGGGCAGGCUAGAGGUAGGUAGGGGAGAAUGGAAUUCCCGGUGUAGCGGUGAAAUGCGCAGAUAUCGGGAGGAACACCAGUGGCGAAGGCGAUCAUCUGGGGUUGUUCUGACACUGAGGAGCGAAAGCUAGGGGAGCAAACGGG
rnacentral:rRNA from 1 species